rnacentral:rRNA from 1 species
GACGAACGCUGGCGGCGUGCUUAACACAUGCAAGUCGAACGGAAAGGCCCUGCUUUUGUGGGGUGCUCGAUUGGCGAACGGGUGAGUAACACGUGAGUAACCUGCCCUUGACUUUGGGAUAACUUCAGGAAACUGGGGCUAAUACCGUAUAGGAGCUCCUGCUGCAUGGUGGGGGUUGGAAAGUUUCGGCGGUUGGGGAUGGACUCGCGGCUUAUCAGCUUGUUGGUGGGGUAGUGGCUUACCAAGGCUUUGACGGGUAGCCGGCCUGAGAGGGUGACCGGCCACAUUGGGACUGAGAUACGGCACAGACUCCUACGGGAGGCAGCAGUGGGGAAUAUUGCACCAUGGGCGGAAGCCUGAUGCAGCAACGCCGCGUGCGGGAUGACGGCCUUCGGGUUGUAAACCGCUUUCGCCUGUGACGAAGCGUGAGUGACGGUAAUGGGUAAAGAAGCACCGGCUAACUACGUG